CCUACGGGUGGCUGCAGUGGGGAAUAUUGGGCAAUGGGCGCAAGCCUGACCCAGCAACGCCGCGUGAAGGAAGAAGGCUUUCGGGUUGUAAACUUCUUUUCUCAGGGACGAAGAAAGUGACGGUACCUGAGGAAUAAGCCACGGCUAACUACGUGCCAGCAGCCGCGGUAAUACGUAGGUGGCAAGCGUUAUCCGGAUUUACUGGGUGUAAAGGGCGUGUAGGCGGGAAAGCAAGUCAGAUGUGAAAGCCAUGGGCUCAACCUGUAGACUGCAUUUGAAACUGUUUUUCUUGAGUACUGGGGAGGCAGACGGAAUUCCUAGUGUAGCGGUGAAAUGCGUAGAUAUUAGGAGGAACACCAGUGGCGAAGGCAGUCUGCUGGACUGCAACUGACACUGAGGCGCGAAAGCGUGGGGAGCAAACAGGAUUAGAUACCCUGGUAGUC
rnacentral:rRNA from 1 species